UACGAAGGGGGCUAGCGUUGCUCGGAAUCACUGGGCGUAAAGGGUGCGUAGGCGGGUCUUUAAGUCAGGGGUGAAAUCCUGGAGCUCAACUCCAGAACUGCCUUUGAUACCGAAGAUCUUGAGUUCGGGAGAGGUGAGUGGAACUGCGAGUGUAGAGGUGAAAUUCGUAGAUAUUCGCAAGAACACCAGUGGCGAAGGCGGCUCACUGGCCCGGUACUGACGCUGAGGUGCGAAAGCGUGGGGAGCAAACAGG
rnacentral:rRNA from 1 species